rnacentral:lncRNA from 1 species
AGUAGAAGAUGGAGUUCUCUAGACAGCAGCACUUCAGCCGCCACUCUGCCUCUGAAGGGAAGGAAGGGAAAGGUCCUUCAGCUCCUACUUAAUGGAAGCCUCGCAGAUGCAAGAUGGCUCCAGCAGGCCCAGCAUCACUUCUUCUCAGUGUCCCAAAGCCAGAAGAGAGGCUGUUGUUUUUAAAAGCAGGAAAACUUUCCUAAACUUGGCCAGAAUUGCAUCACAGACCCUUUCCUAAAACAAUUUCCAGCAAAGGGAAUAGACUUACCAUGUCUGGUACAGAUGAAUCAAGGUUUGCCCCUGGGGGCUGGGGAGGGGCUUGUCCCGCUGAAGCAGACUCUUGCCCAGCAGCUGAACGAAGCCUAGGUUCACCAGACGGAGGAAGAGACUGGCCACUAACAGUGCCUGACACACAGAUGUGCUUCCUGUGAUAUCGCUGCUGCCACCGUUCCAAAUGUAAGCAGUUGGCUGUCUGGGAUACUACCUACCUUCUUUUGUGUUCUUAUUAAUAAAAUUAAAGAUUGCUUUCUGGGUAGAGAAAUUAACCUCAAUAUUCUAAAGACUGUUUUAUUUUUAUGUAUUUAUUUUUUUGAGACAAGGUCUUGCUCUGUCAUCCAGGCUGGAGGGCAGUGAUGAAGUCAUGGCUCACUGCACAGCCUCAAUCUCACGGGCCCCAGCAAUCCUCCCACCUCAGCCUCCCAUCCAGCUGGGACCACAGGCAUGUGCCACCACACCUGGCUGUUUCUCAUUUUUUAUUGGUAGAGACGGGGGUCUCCCUAUGUUGCUCAGGCUGGUCUUGAACUCCUGGGCUCAAGUGAUCCUCCUGCCUUGGCCAACCAAAGUGUUGGGAUUAUAGGCAUGAGCCACUGCGACCAGCCCAAAGACUGUUUUCUAUUACUGUGGGUUUCAGAUACCAUGUCUUAAACGCUGUCAGUGACCACCCCAAUACAGCAGGCCAGCUGACUGGAUUUUCCCUUUGUACUCAGAGCCUGGGUCCCUGAAAAGCGCUGGGGACUUUUGCUUUCCUGUUUGUAAAGAGUCACUAGACUGUGACUCUUUCCAUGUCAAUAAAUAGAGGUCUGCACUAGCCUGGUAUAAAGGCUGUAUAAUAAUUCCACGGUAGGUAAAACUCAAAUGUCCUAGCUCUCACCAGCAAUGAGUGCAAAUGAGAUCACAGUAACAUCCACAUUUCAGUCUCAACAGCUCUGAGCCCUUGCCGGCUCAUUCAGGAAUUCUGAUGCAUUCUCUGAAGUCCCCCUAGUUAUUUCUGGGUUGGCUGCACAGUGUACUUUACAUGUGCUCGGCACAAGGCCUCUCAUUGUAUUUCGCUCCAGCCUCUUGGCCACUGCCCAGCUGCCCUGGCAUCCCCAUCUGCCAUGAACCUGCUGUUGGGGAAGCGAUGUCCAGUCAGGUGUGAAAGCAACUUGGUGGCCUGCGGCAGAGUGAAGAGCUGUAAAGAAUGGCCCUCACUAUACACUGGGUGGCAUCCAGGCCCAAUACAGCCCUGCUAGAGCCCAGAGCCUCCAUCUUCCACACAUCAGCUCUGCAGCCUCCCAUCCUCACUCUUCCUGCCACGAAGUGGCUCAAAUGGCAGAGCAGGUGCCCAUUGUUCCCCCUUUCAACCUCAUUUCUGAUUUUGUCCCCAACCACCCCUACAAACACAUGAAAAUCUUCUUCCUUCUCCCUUCCUCCCCGAAAACAAAAGUCCUUAUACAUAAGGUCACCUUAUUCAUUAGCGGUAAAAGCAUGGAUUCUACAGGCUGGGAGCAAACCCUGACCCUGCCAGUUACUGGUUAUGUGAAUUUGGGCAAGUUACCGAAUUUCCCAGUGCUUCUGUUUCCUUAUCCGUAAAAUGGGGACAGUGAUAGUGUUACCGGAGAGGAGUCCUGAUCCAGACCCCAAAAGAGGGUUCUUGGAUCUUGAGCAAGAAGGAAUUUGGGAUGUCUAUAGACUAAAGUGAAAGCAAGUUUAUUAGAAAAGUAAAGGAAUAAAAGAAUGGCUACUUGGCCAGGCAUGGUGGCUCAAGCCUAUAAUCCUAGCACUUUGGGAGGCUGAGGCAGGCAGAUCACUUGAGGUCAGGAGUUCGAGACCAGCCUGGCCAACAUGGUGAAACCCUGUUGCUACUAAAAAUACAAAAAUUAGCCGGGCGUGGUGGCGUGCGCCUGUAAUCCAGCUACUCGGGAGGCUGAAGCAGGAGAAUUGCUUGAACCCAGGAGGUGGAGGCUGCAGUGAGCCGAGACAGCAGCACCACUGCAGCCUGGGUGACAGAGCGAGACUCUGUCUCAAAAAAAAAAAAAAAAAAAAGGCUACUCCACAGAGCAGCCCUGAGGGCUGCUGGUUGCCCAUUUUUAUGGUUAUUUCUUGAUUAUAUCCUAAACAAGGGGUGGAUUAUUUACGCCUCCCAUUUUUAGACCACAUAGGGUAACUUCCUGAUGUUGCCAUGGCAUUUGUAAACUGUCAUGGCGCUGGUGGGAGUGUAGCAGUGAGGACGACCAGAGGUCACUCUCAUCGCCAUCUUGGUUUUGGUUUUGGUGGGCUUAUUUACUGCAAACUGUUUUAUCAGCAAGGUCUUUAUGGCCUGUAUCUUGUGCCGACCUCCUGUCUCAUCCUGUGACUUAGAAUGCCUUAACCGUCCGGGAAUGCAGCCCAGUAGGUUUCAGCCUCGUUUCACCCAGCUCCUAUUCAAGAUGGAGUUUUCUGGUUCCAAUGCCUCUGACAGUAGUACUUCAUCGCAUUGUGAGGAUUAAACGAGUUCAUACAUGUACAGAAACCAGUAUAGGGAAUGGCACCUGGUAAGUGCUAUGAAGUAUUAGCUAUCAUUACUAUCUUGUCUACAGUAGGUCACCAGCCCGCUAGCAGCUUUUGGGAAAUUCCACACUUAGAAUUCCCACUGUAAGUCUCAAAUGAAAGGAACUAUGUUUGCAGGGAUAGAACACAUUCUUCCUUUCAGUAUUACACAAAAUAACGUGUCUUCAAGGGUAAGGUAGAGAAACCUAAUGGCCAGAAUUACUGCUGAAUGAAUUAAUGAUUAUUUGCUGAAGACUUACUGUGAGCAUAGCAGGUAAAUACCAAACCCUGCACUGUUAAGAAAUUAAAAAGAAAAAAAUAAAAAUAAAAAGAGGCUGGGCGUGGUGGCUCACGCCUGUAAUCCCAGCACUUUGGGAGGCUGAGACGGGUGGAUCACCUGAGGUCAGGAGUUUGAGAACAGCCUAACAUGGAGAAACCCCAUCUCUACUAAAAAUACAAAAUUAGCUGGGCGUGGUGGCGCAUGCCUGUAAUCCCAGCUACUCAGGAGGCUGAGGCAGGAGAAUCACUUGAGCUUGGGAGGCGGAGGUUGCCGUGAGCCGAGAUCGUGCCAUUGCAUUCCAGCCUGGGCAACAAGAGCAAAAGUCCAUCUCAAAAAAAAAAAAAAAAAAAAAUAAUAAUAAUAAUAAAAAGAGACUUCUGCUCUUGAAGAGCUUACAAUCAAAUGAAAGGAGGUAAACAUAAGCAAAUGUGGUAAUUUGAAGAUAAGUAUCUGCAACAUAUUACCAUCUGCAGGACAAUAUAACCCACACCGAAGGCCACAGAGAUCACUGUUAAUGGGUGGAUGAGAACAGGGAGACUGGAAUGGAGAAAAGGCUCUCGGUCUUGCAAACUUAAACUAGCUUUCAAAUAGGUGCAAAUUCUGGCCCUGAUUGUUGAUGUCGUUUUUGCCUUAUUUUUAUUUCAAAAACGAAGCCAGACCGGGCGCAGUGGCUCACCUUUGUAAUCCCAGCACUUUGGGAGGCCAAAACAGGAGGACUGCUUGAGGCCAGGAGUUUGAGACCAACCCGGGCAACAUAGUGAGACCUCAUCUCUGCAAAAUAAAAAUAAUCAGCUGGGCGUGGUGGCGCUCGCCUGUCGUCCCGGCCACUCAGGAGGCUGAGGCGGGAGGAUCACUUGAGCCCGGGAGGUCCAGGCUACAAUAAGUUAUGAUUGCACCACUGCACUCCAGCCUGCGUGCCAGGGUGAAACCUUAUCUCAAAAACAAACCAAAAAAACCCAGAAACAAAAAAAAAUGAAGCCAAGGUGUUUGCCUGAAAAAUAACACUCAGAAGAGCAGUGGGUGUUACAUCAUUCUCCGUUCUUUUCGUAAUUCAGCUCGUGACACUUGCCUUUUUUUCUCUUCUCGGAAUGCCCCGGGCCCCUGGGCAGCCGCGGAGGCCGAGCCCCGUCGCUCUCCAGCGCUCCUUGCCGCCCGCGCCUCGGCUUCACCGGCCUCGCCCCAAACUUAAAAACACCUGAGCAGGAGGUUGAACGAUUCCCUCGGAAUCUCUCCUCUUCACUAACCCAGCGAACCACCCCAAAUGCCCCUAUCCUCCCCCAAAUAAAAUCCGCAGAGCAAUUAACAAAGAUACUCGGCCAAGCCCCGGUUUCCUCAUCUGUCCCUGCCCCCUCGAACUUUCUGUGCUUCCCCAGUCUCGACCAGGGACAAACUGUGUUGAAGCUCAAUGACUUUCUGGCAGAAGUGAACCUCCAGCUUCGUUUUCUGACAGCCGUGGUUCUUCACAGGCCUGGUUUCCCACUCCGGACCCUCCACUGCCCCUGGUGGCGGCCACCAUCUUACCCCCAGCUCCAGGGUCGCGCUGAGGACGCGGCCAGCCCCCAGCCGCCGUAGUUUUGAACUACAUUUCCCACCAGCCCUUUCUCAACAUCGCGAGAGUUCCGGAGAGAUUGCCGAGAAGACUUGCGCGCAGGGGCGGUCUCGCGUUCUUUUCGAGGUCGGCCGCGUGGCUGGAAGACAUGGCCACUCCAGUCGGUGUUGAGCACGGCGAGCAGUCUCAGGCCUUUAGUGAUGAUGGUGCAGUCAGCCUCAGUUUCCAAAGCCGGAAAAGGAUCCUCUAGUAGCCACGGUGUGGCAGCUGCUCUGAACCAGGACCUGGACCCGGACCCAAAGUGCCAUGUCUUUAAUGUUAGCUCCCAGCGAUGCCAGAUGGGAUCAGCACAGCCCUGCCUCUGCUGCUAAUUGUUCCUCUAAAGUAAUCGCCAUGCGUUCUUUGGGCUUCAUCUUUAAAGGAAUGAAGCAACUGAGAUUAUUCUGGAAAACCUUUUGGCAGUUAGUGAAAUUAGAGUACAACUAAGAACAUUUUCAGACCUCCACUGUGGAUGACCUGGGUAUAAUCUCACAAAUCGAUGGGACUGCAAGGAUUGUAAACUGAAAUGAACAUGAUUAUACUCUGUUGGAAGAGCCUAAGAGGAAACUGAUGCCAUGAGUUUCAGAGAGUAAUGCUUAACCCCAGUUACACAGGAUGCCGUCUUGUGUUUCCUCUUGUUUAGUUACCCACUACAGUGAUUUUGUGAUCUGCUAAUGGGUUGCCACCCACAACCAUUGCUUUAGCACUUUUACUUCAAAUCAAUGAAGGAUUGAUAAAAGUUCUCCUGGUGUCUCCGCAGAGUGCCUUCCAGGAACAGAUCUUUGCAUAGAAUAUCAGUGGUUUCCUUUUUUGUUUCAAAUAGUGGUCAGAAAAUACCCAGUGUUGACUCACCAAGGCAAUCAGCUUCCUUUUUCCCUUUUUUUGUUUUUUUUUUAACAUUUUAUAUUUUUGCUUUAUUUUAUUUUAUUUUAUUUUAUUUUAUUUUAUUUUAUUUUAUUUUUUGAGACGGAGUUCCACUCUGUCGCCAGGCUGGAGUGAAGUGGUACAAUCUUGGCUCACUGCAACCUCCACCUCCCGGGUUCAAGCAAUUCUCCUGGCUCAGCCUCCUGAGUGCUGGGACUACAGGCGCGUACCUUCUUUAGUAGAGACUGGGUUUCACCAUGUUGGCCAGGAUGGUCUCUAUCUCCUGACCUUGUGAUCUGCCUGCCUCAGCUUCCCAAAGUGCUGAGAUGACAGGUGUGAGCCAUCAGACCCAGCAUUUUUUUUUUUAAUUUAAAUUUAAAUUUUUUUUCAUUUUUUUGAGAGGUUUUUUUUGUUUUGUUUUGUUGUUGUUGUUGUUGUUGUUUUUGAGACAGUCUUGCUCUGUCACCCAGGCUGGGAGUGCAGUGGCAUGAUCUCUGCAACCUCUACCUCCCAGGUUCAAGCAAUUCUUGUGCCUCAGCCUCCCAAGUAACUGGGACUACAGGUGCACGCUACCACACCUGGCUGAUUUUUUUUGUUUUAGUAGAGACAGGGUUUCAACCAUGUUGCCCAGGUUGGUCUCAAACUCCUGAGCUCAGGCAAUCCACCCGCCUUGGCCUCCCAAAGUGCUAGGAUUACAGGUGUGAGCCACCACACCCAGCUAUUUUUUCUUUCGUUUUUUAAUUUUAAAGUUGGGGGGGGGUCUCAAUUUGUUACCCUGGCUGGUCUCGAACUCCCGGACUUAAGCGAUCCUCUGGCUCCAAGCCCACUACCAGUCUCAGGUUUCUUUACUAAAAGAUCACUACCUUUUUUUCUCUUAUCUGCUGCCAUGUGAGAUGUGGCUUUCACCUUCCGCCAUGAUUGUGAGGCCUUCCCAGCCAUGUAGAACUGUAAGUCCAAUAAACCUCUUUUGUAAAUUAAAAAAAAAAAAUCACUAUUUAAGAUACUAGGAUGGAUUGUGACUGUUGAGGAGUACUUACAUAUCCUACAUUUGACUACAUUAUUUCCAAACCAAGUAUUCCAUCCAAAGGAACAUACUGCUAUCAUAGAGACCAAGGAGGGACUGUUUAAGGUUGCCAAGGUGAAGCGAGCUGAGAGGCUUUGUCCUCGUGCCAGUAACUCUGAAAUCUCUCUUAAUUCCUGCUGUCCAGGCAGCAGAAUGCCAUGGUUUCCCCAAGUAGGUAGCUGCUUUAGCAGUUAAAGCCCAAAUGUCUGUUCUGUUGAUCAGAGGUCUCUGAAUUUCUGAAGUGGUGUUUCGUUUCUGGUGACUGAGUUAAUCCUUUACAAUCCCUCUUGUAAAGUGUGCUAAUAGAAAGAAUCCACCUUUCAAAGCUGCAGAACCAGACCGUGCCCUAAAUUGACCAACGUAACUGAUGUGCCUCAGGAAGUCUCUUGCCAGCUGUCCCUGUGAAGACCCCCCUCCUCCCCCCCAGCUGCUGCCUUGCACACUGAAGCAUCUCAGACUGUGCAAAGCCGUGUAGUCAUCAAGACAGUAAAUCCCAGGGCUUGGUUAAGUGCUGUGUGAUAACUUGUUUGGAUGAGACUUAACUUAAAACCACUUACAAUAAACUUGGGAAACUACCGUCAGCUGAGUUCAAAUUUACUGACGCCAUGAUAUGAGGAUGAAGGUUUAUUACCUGGUGACAUCAUCCUGUUGGUGACAAGGUGGUGAUACAUCUCUAAUGGGACUUCCCUCAGUGGCAGGCAGGCUGCCAAGCAACUAACCCCCAUCAAGUGCCAGACCCUCCCAGUGUUCUGAGAGUCAUCUCCAUGCUAAACAGCCUGCGUUUUAUAUGAUUUCUCUACCCAGCCAAAAAAAAAAAAAUGGUCCAUCAUGUACGCAGUUAUCUAGUCUUAAGUUAUAUUCUGGCUUUUUUCUCCCACUUUAUUAUGGAGCAGAAGUAAGCCUAUCAUGUUCUUAGAAAGGCUCUUAAGAGGUGUCCUGGAGUCCUUGAAUCACUUUAGCAUCUGGGGUAGGAUGUGCCACCAGGAGGAUUUGGGCUGGAGCGUGUGUGUUUGCCUUUGACCUGGACUGCUGUCUGAUCUUGCUGAACACUCCACCGACAUUUCCUAAAGUUGCUCAGUGCCAAUCCAGCAAAGCAGUCCAUUUUCCCUUGGCCAAGAUUGAGAUGUAUUGUUUUAGAUACAGAAGAGUUCUUGGAUGAGCCAAGGACAAGCUGGGGUGUCCUAUAUUGAACAGACCUCGAUGAAAAUCUUGAAUUCACCCCAGUGCCCUCUGUUGGCAAGGGAAGGUGAAGAUUGAAAAGUUAAAAAAGCUUUUGGCCACUUGAGAGGAUCAGGGCCGCAACUCUUGAAGAAGCAAAGGGCUCAGUGCAUUGGGGUCAGCGCUGGUACAGCUGAAGGAUGCCGGCCUUGUGCAGGUCCCUCCACAGGGCAGCUUCCAGGGACAGAUCGUGGUUUGCAUAAAAUAUCAAUGGCUUCAUUUUUCGUUCGAAAUAGUGGUCGGAAAAUUUCCAGUAGUUGCUUGUGAUGAAUCCAUAGGCACUGACCUGGGCAAGGAUAGUCGCUGGAUUAGUAUUUGUUGAGCGUCUAGUGUGUACAGACACUUGGGUGAAGUGACAUGAGUUUAGAAAGGUGUCCGUCUGCUGAGGUGAGGAUAAUGGUCUAGGGCUUAUUCCCACUUAGCAAGUGGGGAGAUGGAUUCAGGGGUGACUCACUGUGUCCCCACUUGGCAUAGCUGGUGAUUGCCAGAGCUGGAUUUGGAACUCAAGGGUGGAGGCAAAAGCCCAUUACUACUCUCUCCAUCCUAACUGGGGACUGCAGUCAAGACACUCCUGCAUCAGAAUAGGAAAAGGCCCUGUGUGGUGGCUCACGCCUGUAAUCCCAACACUGGGAAGCUGAGGUGGGAGGAUCACUUGAGCUUGGAAGUUUGAGACCAGCCUGGGCAACAUGGUAAGACCCUGUCUCUACAAAAAGUAAAAAAAAAAAAAAAGAGCUGGGCGUGGCAGUACAUGCCUGUGAUCCCAGCUACCCAGCUACUUGGGAAGCUGAGGCAGGAGGAUCAUCACACCACUGCACUUAAGCCUGGGUGACAGAGUUGAGACCCUGUCUCAAAAAAGAGGGAAAAGAUUUAGGUGUGAGUCGUGGAGAGGCAUUUGGCCCCCAGCUCUCCAUACCAGCUUUAGCAUGGGUCACGGCCUCUCCUUGAAAGCUG